rnacentral:tRNA from 1 species
UGGUAGAGCAUCUGACUUUUAAUCAGAGGGUCGACAGUUCGAGCCUGUCACGACUCAUCGGCCAAGUUACACG